rnacentral:rRNA from 1 species
UAUUAUGGAGAGUUUGAUCCUGGCUCAGGACGAACGCUGGCGGCAUGCCUAAUACAUGCAAGUCGAGCGAACUG